AACCGGUUUGGCUUGGCCGGUUCAACCGAACCGGCCAGCCUUCUAUUAUUAGCCGCGACCCAACAGAGGGUCGCUACAGAUCAUUCGCGCGAAACAGAGAGGGCGGCGACGGCUUCGUGCGUAAGAACAAGGUAGGUUUUUCUUUUCUCCGAUUUUAGCAAGUGAUUAUCUUCAAGGGUAAGAAAUAGUAAUUCCUUUUCAUUCUUAUAGUUAUCGGAGUGUUAUUUUGGGAGAGAUUGAAGAACGAGAGAAACGGUCGAGAGAAAGAAGGAGAAAGGUAGAGGAAGAGAAUUGAAGCAAGAGAGAGAAUUUUUGGAAGAGGAAGAAGGAUUUUUGGGAGAUUUGGAAAAUCCCAUUGUAAGAAAUUUCUAUCAUGAAACUAUUCUUGAGUUUUAUUUGAUAAAGCAAAUUCAUGAAAACUUUAUUUCUUGAUGAUAGAGAUUUGGAGAGAGGUUCGAGGUAUCACCCUUCGUCGAAGGCCUGAAAAGUUCAAAGUGGGUAAUUAUGAUUAUGAAAUUCAAAAUUUAGCAUUUUCUUUUAGUACGAUAAAAUAGUCUGCAUUACAGUAUUACUUUCAAAGUUUUAUCUUAAAGACUACUACAUAUGAAGAGUUGAAAGAUUAAAUACCUAAUGAUUGUAAGUAUUAUUCUAAUAAGAAACAAAUGAAUUGAAUAAUGAAAAGAAAAUAUCGUAUGUAUUAAAGAGAUAUUGAAAAGAAACGACAUAUGAAAUAGAAUAGAAAUGUUAUGGUAAAUGUAAAAGAAAGGAAAAAGGAUAUAUAUGAAUAUUUCAGGAGUUCACCCCCUUAUGGUACUGGCUGGGGACGCCGUACUCGUGCACG